CACUCUUAUUUGAAGAGAGAGAAAUUUUCUCUCAUUUUAAGUUUGAUUCUCUCGGACUCGCUGAGUCAUUUCUCGUUAGUUUUCCCUGCCUUUCGACAAGGGGAAGCCUUUGAUUUUGGUCUCUGGCCUAGUUUUGUGGGAACGCCCUCUCUCAACUGGGUCAGGUAGUAUAUGCUUUUGAGUUUGGUGUGUUUUUUUUCUUGCAUGAUGGUCUGUGCUUCAGUGUGAGGGCCUUUGUUUGAAGACCUUUGUGUACUAAGUUAUUUGUACUUUAGCUGAAGCAAUGGGAAGAGACUAGACGACAAUGCUAGGGAGUUAUAGAGGUAUCUUUUCCGUCUGCAAGAAGUUGGGUUCUUAGACCCAAAGGUGGGUAAUGGUUCAGUUCAAGUGGGUUUGCUCCAUGCGAUUGAGAGGGCUUCUCUAGAUCUAGCUAUUUAGCAUCUCCGGAAUCUGCUUAUUCACUACAGCUGGGAAGGCCUUCCCAUUUGGCUUACAAGUGCCUUGAGCUCUGCGGCAGCACCCUGUUGUGGCAUGGAGUUAAGCUUCAUGUUUUUGAGAAGAUUUGGGAGGUCUACUCUGGUUGAUGGUUUGGUUGUGUGAAAUUGGGUGCCUAUGGACACAUCUUGUGUUGCAGGGUUGCUGGUUGGGUCUCCAGUCUUGCUCGGUUCUUCCAGUGGUCAGCAAAAUGGGUGGCAGAUGGCAAGGUGUUUUAUAGUUUCAAAUGUCUUUUCUAUAACCCUAGGGUUGUAGGUUGGAAAGAGUCUGUUUGUGGGCUGAGUUUAGUUUGGGUUGAUCUAGUUUUAAACUGAACUUGUUGCUAUUUUUCAUAUUAUACUUUCUUUCUACUCAAAUGUUUAACAUCCCAGCUUGUAAUGAGUUGACCAUGAGGCAUUUAAUGCAAUUUAGCAUUUA
rnacentral:misc_RNA from 1 species